AACCGAAAUUUGGAAGUUUUACACAUUGACAAUGCGGUCACAGACCCAGAACAGUUUUGUUGGUUGUAACAAUGACCGCGAAAGUCUAUGCUUACACAUUUUUUGCAGUUUUGCUGUAAUUGCUUUAUUUCUGUUAACUGUAUUAGGGAACGUAAAAUUGAUUGUGUCAUCUUACUGUUGCGAUACGACAUGAUACAACAGACAGUGGACAGUCAAGUGUCUGAGUUGGUUGUGGUCAUCUCCAUUUCGUGUGCAUAAUUGACUGGAACGUCUACUCAACACAGUUGUUGUCCAUCAGAAUAAGUGUGCGUGUUAUGGUGCUCGCAUAUGAACAGGUCUUAUUGAUAUACUUUUAAUCUUGCGUGGAAUGUUUCUACAGUGCACGGAUAGCGUCAUCACCGUAUAGUCAACACAAAAGCUAUACGAAAGACAAUCUUCAAAAUCAUCUAUAUCGAUAGUAUGGUGAGGCACUCUCAAGCGAAUGUUUUCUGUUCCUUUUCUCUCAUGAACUGAGAAAGAACUACGAAAUGGAAGAUAAAUGAUCCAUGAUCUUACACAUCAAUGAGGCAACUGUGGCGGAGACGACGAACGUACGCACAAAGAACAUCCUACAAAAGUGCGCGAGUGUGUUAUAGGUGUUUUGUACUCAUUUGGUGUCAAUUUUCUGCGUGUGUUAUACUAUCUUCCUACUUACAUAACUAGAGGACUCGCGAUGUUGGAACAUUCGACACCGGCCACCAGAACCUGGAGGAUCCGAGAUAGGUAUCUGCAUUAACUGAGAAGAGGAAAUCUUACAGAUCAACGCAGUGGCGCAGAAUUACAUCGUGGAAAAGGAAACAAGAAGAGUUCCGAGAAGCAUAGGGGAUAUUCGGCACAAAGUGUAACACGUGCAAAGUCGGCAACCAGACAACUGAAUGAAAAGCCAAGUAAUGUAUGACUGGAGCUGAUCAAAAUGUAAUUAAUGAUUUUGUGGAGAAUAAACCAAAA